AAGGUUAAUGGACAUCGAUUGAAGCCAUUCAAUGAAGGUUUUGAUUCAAAUGUCCAAGAUGUCGUCCAUUUGGACGCCCCAAAGUGUUAAAGUGAAGUUUGGAGGCGUCUCGCCAAAGACGUUAAAGAAUGGCAUUUUUGGAACGCAUUGUGUUUUCGUGUUUUUAAUUUCAAUAAAUGAGUUUUGAAGAUGCUUUUGGGAUUCAAAAGAGUUGUUUUUGAAGAAAUCAAGAGUUUCUAGGUGUUUGGGGCCUUCCAAAGCAAGAACGGGUGAAAAACGAAGAAAAAUGAAGCAAAAAUGAAGAUCAGGAUCAGGAGGUUGCGCGACCCGCGUGCUGUUGCGCGGGUGGGUUGCGCGGCCAGGUGUGAUGAAGCGACAUUGGCCCAAGACUUAACUGCAAGGUCUGCGCGACCCGCGUGCUACACUGCGCGACCCGCGCACUGUGCUGGGCAAUUUGGGCUAUUUUUGGCUAUUAUUUGACCAAGUGUUGACCAAAGGUUUUAAUGAGUUGACCUUUUGACUUUUCUUGACCAACAUUGACCGAAAUUGACCCUUUUUGACCCAUAGAUUAAAAUGUUCAGCUUCCCUUCUUCCUCAUUUAAUCAUCUUGACCUCCCACUCCAUUCCUCUCAUAUAACCUUCCAGCACCCACCUCACCGGAAAAUUCAAGAUUGUCGGAGUUCUACUGGUCGUAAUUUCACGAAACCACCGCCAAAGACAUCUCCCGUCAUCCAAUCCUCCGAUUUAGGUCAUUUUUGCCCUUACCUUAAGCAUUGAGGACAAUGCUUGUUCUUAAGCUUGGGGUGGGGCAUUUCAUUUUCCUUUUAUAUUUUUUUUUCAUGCAUUUUUAAUUAGGUUGCAUAACAUUUUAGAUUUAAGCUAAUUUUCAUUCAUUUUUUUUUAAAUCCAAAAAAAAAUUAUUUUUUCUUUUUCACCUUUUAUAUUUUUGCAUAACAUUUAGCUUAGGCAUUAACAUUCAUGCAUUUUUGUUGUCUGUUUAUUCUCACCCCUGGAUGCCAUGGAAUAGGUUCACAGUUAUUGUAUCAUUAUUGGUCCAGGAUCUUGUUGUUAUCUCACCCAUCGAACCGGGACCAUUAGCUGCAGUUUGGGAUUUCAUACUUGGGAUCAGAUGCUGGUAGCUUAAAGGGGUAAGUGAUCAUGGACAGGUAGUUUUCAUGAAGAAUUAUGCAUACAAUACUAAUGACUGUAGGAUAUACUAUAGCAAUGGAUGUCUUAGCCUUGCGGUCACUACCGCCGAGAGGAUCACACUUGAUCAUGUUUGAACCGUUAGGAUGAAGCACUAGUGCUUGUCCCCGAGUAGAAUCCAUAUCCGGUCUCUUUACAUCACCAUAUCUUUUUGCGAUUUUCUUAGGAUUUUAGAGAAGUCUUUUAGUCCGCAUGUGGACAUUUUCAUUAUUUUUGAAAAAAAAAAUUCACAAAUUUGAAAAGGAGCUUACAUUAUAUCUUUAUGCUCCACACAUGGUCAUUUUCUCGCUUAGACCAUUCGGAUUAUAUUACUACCCUUUCGGUUCCACUUACACACUUUAGGAACCAAAUUUUGAGUCAAAGGGUUGUUAUUACAUUACCUUCAAGUAUAACAAAAAAAACAAAAAAAAAAAAAAGGGGGCAGGCAAAUUCCCAGCUGCAGAAAUCUGAGAAGGGUGACCGGUUCAAUUAUUGAACUAAAUCUUCCAACAUUUUGGUCACCCGGCGUUUGAUAUUCAUUUAUUUAGGUAUGUUUUAUUGUAUAUAGAUCGAGUUGUUUUUCGCAAAUUGGUGAUGUUAGGGAGACUGUCGAGUCAGAUACUACGGGAGGUUUGGGCCAACACCAAGUGAACCGAUUCCUACAACGGUGCCCGAGCGAUUAAACCUAGUUACACAUGAGAGAAACCGGCAAACGUGAGAUCAGAGUGUACAUUUAAAGAAGAGCUCCACCCGAGCCCAUCCAGCUGCUUUCUCCCUACUACAGAUAUUCUUCAUUGUAUGCAUGUUCCAUUGAGGCUGCGACUGCUCAUCCCUCCUUACUCACCUAAAGGAGUUGUCCUGGCUGUGGUUUAUGGUACCAUUGUCAUCGGAUGAAAAAUUCGUGAGGUAAUAGCAAGAUCAAUUCUGACCAUGUUGACUAACGGUGAUCAGGUUCUGCGGCUCUAUCCAUUCUUUUUAUUUUCUCUAGGAUAGUUCAUCCCAAGUUCAUUUUAGUCUUGUCUUACUUGAGGACAAGUAAGGUUUAAGCUUGGGGUGAUUUGAUAGUUAGUUUUGUUUACUUCUUUUUAUAGUUUAUUUUAGCAUAUUUCAUUCAUAAUUUAGAUAAUUUCCAUGCAUAUUUUCCCUUUUGUUAUUUUAUGACUAUUUCGGGUACUUUCGAAUCUUGUGAGCAUAAUUGCAGGUUUUCGGGUCUAGCGGAGCGGGAGUGUUCGGGACGUAUGGGAAGCGAUGAGAUUUGGUAGACAAAAAUGAUGUUAGGCUUGGUGAUUGUGGAGAUUAUGCAUGGAGCGAGCUUGAUGGUUAUUUGAAGGCUUGGAGAGAAAUAAACUUUAAAUUUGCAAGAUGCGGGAGUUUAUUCAAGCAUACGUAGAUUUUUAAUCGGGAGAGUGCACGAGCUUUGGAGGAUUUGGAGAGGUCAAAUUGGGCUUAAAAUGAAGAAAAACUUGAAGAAAAUGGGCUAGGAGGUGAUUGGAUUCGAUCUGGGCUAAGUGGGCUAAGCUAUGGAGGCCCAAAACCUCAAAGAUGUUACAUCCAGGGACCACCCGCGCAACAGCACGCGGGUCGCGCAACCUCCUGCAGGGGCAGUUUCGGAAAUUCUUCUUUUGAGCUAUUUGAGGAAGGUUGGUGCCCAUCUUUUGGAGACUCUUGGACAUCCGAUUUUUGGAGAUUCUCUCUGGAGUUUUGAAGACUUUUGAAGGCCAAGAACACUUGAAGAACAUCAUAUUUUUACCUCUUGAUUCUUGCUUAAUGUUUGGUACAAUUUUCUCUAACUUUGUUUCUUUGGGUUUAGCCAUGCUUGGCUAAACUAAUCUUGGUUGACUUUUGGUUAAUCCUUUGAACUUUUGUUGAAUGUUGAAGAAUCCAUGAACAUGUUCUUAAAUCUUUAUGGGAAUGUUUUGUGUUUUAACAUCUUAUCACUACUUGUAUGUUUUAGUUCAUGAGUUUAAAUGUGUUUGUGGUGAUUAGUUGGCUAAUUUCUUGAUUAAGUAAAGGAUCCUCAAAUUAGCAAGCAACAAAUGAUUUUUGUGUUGUUUUUGCUUCACACAAUCAUAAAAACAUUUCCUCCAACAUGGUGGUGAAAGCAUUUGACCCCUCUUGGAUUUGGUGACUUUUUGGUUCUUAAUGCUAGUUGACUUUCACUAAUUACAUGCUAUUUGGAAUUAGUGACUUUGACUAAGGAAAUUGUUAUGAGCUUCUCUAGCCAUUUCAACAAUUAAGAAAAGUCUAGGUAAUCUCAAGCUCCUUGGAUUACUAUAGCCAAAUUAAGGAUUUAAAUCAAAGUAUUGCACCAUUGGAUUCUAAUGAUAUGUUCAUCAAAAGUCAAAGUGAGGAAACUUUAAGUCAACCAUCUCUCCCUUAUUGAUUUUACAUCAAACUCUUAUUUUUGUUGCAUUUGUCUAUUUAAAUCAUAGUUAAUUCUAGUUUGUUUCAAGUAUUUCAAAACACCAAAACCCCCCAUUUUAUUUUUAUUGUCAUUUUACAAGUAUUUUUACAAAGAGAUUUUUCAUAGAGUUAUAAAUUGAACCAAUCUCCGUGGAUUCGAUCCCUUUACCACUAUACACUAUUUUAGUGUGUAAUAUUUAGGGUUAUUAUUUGUGUUGGCCUCGACAACCACCAAAUUUUUGGCGCCGUUGCCGGGGAUUGGUUUUGAUUUAAUCAGUUUGUUUCUCUAUGCCUACAUCUCAUUGUGCAGGUACUCUAAUUUAAAACCCCGAAAUUAAAAAAAAAAAUAUGAUUUGGAAAUGAACACUCCUUGCACCGAAGACCAACUUUCUGAGCUAGCUCAGUUAGUUAUGAUGAUUGAAAGUGACCAAAGUGUGCAGCCCACACCUCUUCUUUGUGAUUUUUGCGCCCAAAAUGGACAUCAUUCCGACAUGUGUCCAUAUUUACAAGGAGAAUGGGAAGAAGUGCAAGAGAAAGGAAGCUACUACCGGUCAAACCAAUGGAGUUAUGAUCAGCCUCAACAUGAUCAAUGGUGGGACAACAACCAAGUUUGGGGAAAUAACCAUUACCAAAACCCAUACCAAACAUGGGGAAAUAACCAAUACCAACCAACUCCACUGUUCCAAGAACCCUAUCCUUACCCUCCUCAACAAACUGAAACGCCAAGCAUGUCCUUAGAGGACAUUGUGAAAAGCAUUGCCACUUCUACCCAAAUUUUCCAGGAAACAACUCAAGCUAGCCUCAAAAGCUUAGAGCAACAAAUAACACAAAUUGCUCAAUCAUUGAGUAUAGUGGAAGCUCAACACAAAUUACCAUCUCAAGAGAACCCAUGUCAUAACGCAUGUUGCAUUCCUUUGAAAGAUGAGAAAACUUUUGAUGGCCCAAGAGUGUUAUAUGAAGAAGAGGAAGAAGAAGUAGAAGUGGAAGAAGUUGUCAAAGAGGAAGAAGAAAUUGAGAAUGUUGUCAAUGAAACUGUAAACGAAGUAAUAGGGGUUAACGAAAGAGAUAUUGAGCCACCCACUACCAAUGAGAAACUAACUCUAGUGGCAGAACAACCACAAGAUCCGGAAACGAUAAAUCUGCCGGACCCUUCAAAGGAUACCUAUCCCGAGAAAGAAGACGCCCAACCGGUCACCUACUCAACCACCAUGUCAAAGAGGGAAGAGUUGGUCACCUUACUGAACAAGUACAAGAGAGAAUAUGGUUGGAUGAUUGCUAUUAUCAAAGGUCUGAGUCCGGUAUGGUUCUCCCGUAAAAAGAAAGUCAAAUACAAGAAAAGAGUCCCAAUGGAGGUGUGGAAAUUAAAAAAUGUAGACACGGGGCAAAUUUGCAAGGUUAAUGGACAUCGAUUGAAGCCAUUCAAUGAAGGUUUUGAUUCAAAUGUCCAAGAUGUCGUCCAUUUGGACGCCCCAAAGUGUUAAAGUGAAGUUUGGAGGCGUCUCGCCAAAGACGUUAAAGAAGGGCAUUUUUGGAAAGCAUUGUGUUUUCGUGUUUUUAAUUUGAAUAAAUGAGUUUUGAAGAUGUUUUUGGGAUUCAAAAGAGUUGUUUUUUAAGAAAUCAAGAGUUUCUAGGUGUUUGGGGCCUUCCAAAGCAAGAACGGGUGAAAAACGAAGAAAAAUGAAGCAAAAAUGAAGAUCAGGAUCAGGAGGUUGCGCGACGCGCGUGCUGUUGCGCGGGUGGGUUGCGCGGCCAUGUGUGAUGAAGCGACAUUGGCCCAAGACUUAACUGCAAGGUCUGCGCGACCCGCGUGCUACUCUGCGCGACCCGCGCACUGUGCUGGGCAAUUUGGGCUAUUUUUGGCU
rnacentral:lncRNA from 1 species